rnacentral:rRNA from 1 species
UACGGAGGGUGCAAGCGUUAUCCGGAUUCACUGGGUUUAAAGGGUGCGUAGGAGGGCAGGUAAGUCAGUGGUGAAAUCCCCAAGCUUAACUUGGGAACUGCCAUUGAUACUAUCUGUCUUGAAUACCGUGGAGAUGAGCGGAAUAUGUCAUGUAGCGGUGAAAUGCUUAGAUAUGACAUAGAACACCAAUUGCGAAGGCAGCUUACUAGCCGAAUAUUGACACUGAGGCACGAAAGCGUGGGGAGCAAACAGG